rnacentral:rRNA from 1 species
AUUGAACGCUGGCGGCAUGCCUUACACAUGCAAGUCGAACGGUAACAGGUCUUCGGAUGCUGACGAGUGGCGAACGGGUGAGUAAUACAUCGGAACGUGCCCGAUCGUGGGGGAUAACGAGGCGAAAGCUUUGCUAAUACCGCAUACGAUCUACGGAUGAAAGCGGGGGAUCUUCGGACCUCGCGCGGACGGAGCGGCCGAUGGCAGAUUAGGUAGUUGGCGGGAUAAAAGCUUACCAAGCCGACGAUCUGUAGCUGGUCUGAGAGGAUGAUCAGCCACACUGGGACUGAGACACGGCCCAGACUCCUACGGGAGGCAGCGGUGGGGAAUUUUGGACAAUGGGCGAAAGCCUGAUCCAGCCAUGCCGCGUGCAGGAUGAAGGCCUUCGGGUUGUAAACUGCUUUUGUACGGAACGAAAAGCCUCUUUCUAAUAAAGAGGGGUCAUGACGGUACCGUAAGAAUAAGCACCGGCUAACUACGUG